UGGGGAAUCUUGGACAAUGGGGGCAACCCUGAUCCAGCCAUGCCGCGUGAGUGAUGAAGGCCUUAGGGUCGUAAAGCUCUUUCGCCUGUGAAGAUAAUGACGGUAGCAGGUAAAGAAACCCCGGCUAACUUCGUGCCAGCAGCCGCGGUAAUACGGAGGGGGUUAGCGUUGUUCGGAAUUACUGGGCGUAAAGCGCACGUAGGCGGACCAGAAAGUUGGGGGUGAAAUCCCGGGGGCUCAACCCCGGAACUGCCUCCAAAACUAUUGGUCUAGAGUUCGAGAGAGGUGAGUGGAAUUCCAAGUGUAGAGGUGAAAUUCGUAGAUAUUUGGAGGAACACCAGUGGCGAAGGCGGCUCACUGGCUCGAUACUGACGCUGAGGUGCGAAAGUGUGGGGAGCAAAACAGGAUUAGAUACCCCUGGUAGUCCACACCGUAAAACGAUGAAUGCCAGUCGUCGGGUAGCAUGCUAUUCGGUGACACACCUAACGGAUUAAGCAUUCCGCCUGGGGAGUACGGUCGCAAGAUUAAAACUCAAAGGAAUUG
rnacentral:rRNA from 1 species